rnacentral:rRNA from 1 species
UACGGAGGGGGCGAGCGUUAUUCGGAAUUAUUGGGCGUAAAGGGCGCGUAGGCGGCCCGGUAAGUCAAAGGUGAAAUCCCUCGGCUCAACUGAGGAACUGCCUUUGAAACUGUCGGGCUUGAGGCCGGGAGGGGGUAGCGGAAUUCCCAGUGUAGCGGUGAAAUGCGUAGAUAUUGGGAGGAACACCAGUGGCGAAGGCGGCUACCUGGACCGGUUCUGACGCUGAGGCGCGAAAGCGUUGGUAGCAAACAGG